GGAGGCAGCAGUGGGGAAUCUUAGACAAUGGGCGCAAGCCUGAUCUAGCCAUGCCGCGUGAGUGAUGAAGGCCUUAGGGUCGUAAAGCUCUUUCGCCAGGGAUGAUAAUGACAGUACCUGGUAAAGAAACCCCGGCUAACUCCGUGCCAGCAGCCGCGGUAAUACGGAGGGGGUUAGCGUUGUUCGGAAUUACUGGGCGUAAAGCGCGCGUAGGCGGACCAGAAAGUAUGGGGUGAAAUCCCGGGGCUCAACCCCGGAACUGCCUCAUAAACUCCUGGUCUUGAGUUCGAGAGAGGUGAGUGGAAUUCCGAGUGUAGAGGUGAAAUUCGUAGAUAUUCGGAGGAACACCAGUGGCGAAGGCGGCUCACUGGCUCGAUACUGACGCUGAGGUGCGAAAGUGUGGGGAGCAAACAGGAUUAGAUACCCUGGUAGUCCACACCGUAAACGAUGAAUGCCAGUCGUCGGCAAGCAUGCUUGUCGGUGACACACCUAACGGAUUAAGCAUUCCGCCUGGGGAGUACGGUCGCAAGAUUAAAACUCAAAGGAAUUGACGGGGACCCGCACAAAAGGG
rnacentral:rRNA from 1 species